rnacentral:piRNA from 1 species
UAGGAUGUCUUAUUCUGGAGACCCACAAA